AAAAAGGCAAACCCUGGGUUUCCGUGUCUAACUUUGAUUGUCCGUCUUAUAUGAAAUUUUUUUAUAAUUCGUACUUUUAUUGUUGUUAGAUGAUAAAAUAUGAUUAAUACUUUGUGCGUGACUUGUCUUUUUAAUUUUUUUAAAUAAAACGGACGGUCAAACGUUGGGCACGGAAAUCAGGGUUUGUCUUUUU
rnacentral:pre_miRNA from 1 species